AUUGAACGCUGGCGGCAGGCUUAACACAUGCAAGUCGAGCGGAGAUGAGGUGCUUGCACCUUAUCUUAGCGGCGGACGGGUGAGUAAUGCUUAGGAAUCUGCCUAUUAGUGGGGGACAACAUUCCGAAAGGAAUGCUAAUACCGCAUACGUCCUACGGGAGAAAGCAGGGGAUCUUCGGACCUUGCGCUAAUAGAUGAGCCUAAGUCGGAUUAGCUAGUUGGUGGGGUAAAGGCCUACCAAGGCGACGAUCUGUAGCGGGUCUGAGAGGAUGAUCGGCCACACUGGGACUGGGACACGGCGCGGACUCCUACGGGAGGCAGCAGUGGGGAAUAUUGGAACAUGGGGGGAACCGUGAUCCAGCCAUGCCGCGUGUGUGAAGAAGGCCUUAUGGUUGUAAAGCACUUUAAGCGAGGAGGAGGCUACCGAGACUAAUACUCUUGGAUAGUGGACGUUACUCGCAGAAUAAGCACCGGCUAACUCUGGGCCAGCCGCCGCCGUAACAC
rnacentral:rRNA from 1 species